rnacentral:rRNA from 1 species
CCUACGGGGGGCAGCAGUGGGGAAUAUUGCGCAAUGGGGGCAACCCUGACGCAGCCAUGCCGCGUGUGUGAAGAAGGCCUUCGGGUUGUAAAGCACUUUAAGUGGGGAGAAAAGGGUAGCCGUUAAUAGCGUCUACCUGUGAUGUUACCCACAGAAUAAGCACCGGCUAACUCCGUGCCAGCAGCCGCGGUAAUACGGAGGGUGCGAGCGUUAAUCGGAAUUACUGGGCGUAAAGCGCGCGUAGGCGGUUUGUUAAGUCAGCUGUGAAAGCCCCGGGCUCAACCUGGGAACUGCAGUUGAUACUGGCCGACUAGAGUACGAGAGAGGGAGGUAGAAUUCCAUGUGUAGCGGUGAAAUGCGUAGAUAUAUGGAGGAAUACCGGUGGCGAAGGCGGCCUCCUGGCUCGAUACUGACGCUGAGGUGCGAAAGCGUGGGGAUCAAACAGGAUUAGAUACCCCAGUAGUC